UACGUAGGCAGCAAGCGUUGUUCGGAAUUAUUGGGCGUAAAGAGUGCGUAGGCGGUGUUCCAAGUCUGUCGUGAAAUCUCCCGGCUUAACUGGGAGGGUGCGGCGGAAACUGGAACGCUAGAGGGUGGGAGAGGUAAGCGGAAUUCCUGGUGUAGCGGUGAAAUGCGUAGAUAUCAGGAGGAACACCGGUGGCGAAGGCGGCCCUCUGGACGGUGACUGACGCUGAGACGCGAAAGCGUGGGGAGCAAACAGG
rnacentral:rRNA from 1 species